AGUGAACGCUGGCGGUAGGCCUAACACAUGCAAGUCGAACGGCAGCACAGUAGAGCUUGCUCUUACGGGUGGCGAGUGGCGGACGGGGGAGGAAUACAUCGGAAUCUACUUUUUCGUGGGGGAUAACGGAGGGAAACUUACGCUAAUACCGCAAACGACCUACGGGUGAAAGCAGGGGAUCUUCGGACCCUGUGCGAUUGAAUGAGCCGAUGUCGGAUUAGCUAGUUGGCGGGGUAAAGGCCCACCAAGGCGACGAUCCGUAGCUGGUCUGAGAGGAUGAUCAGCCACACUGGAACUGAGACACGGUCCAGACUCCUACGGGAGGCAGCAGUGGGGAAUAUUGGACAAUGGGCGCAAGCCUGAUCCAGCCAUACCGCGUGGGUGAAGAAGGCCUUCGGGUUGUAAAGCCCUUUUGUUGGGAAAGAAAAGCAGCAGGUUAAUACCCCGCUGUUCUGACGGUACCCAAAGAAUAAGCACCGGCUAACUUCGUG
rnacentral:rRNA from 1 species